GGGGGUAUAGCUCAGCUGGGAGAGCAGCAGACUGAAGUUGGUUGCAUUCUGAAGGUCCCGCGUUCGAUCCGCGGUACCCCCA